GUUUCGGCUGCUUCACGGUAUUUCUCUCGAGUUUCUCAAUCUUCUCUUUCCUUUUUCCUUUUUCAGUGUUGGAUCUCUCCAGUGUUGAUGUAAUUACUGUAUGGGCCAAAAUUAGAUCAGAGAAAUUCGGCACGCGGAAACAUAAGGUCGUGGUCGGAUAGGCCGAGGUCGGACAGGCCGAGGACGGACAGUCAUCAAUAAGGUCGUGGUCGGAUAGGCCGAGGUCGGACAGGCCGAGGACGGACAGUCAUCAAUAAGGUCGUGGUCGGAUAGGCCGAGGUCGGACAGGCCGAGGACGGACAGUCAUCAAUAAGGUCGUGGUCGG